rnacentral:rRNA from 1 species
AACGGCCCAAACUCCUACGGGAGGCAGCAGUAGGGAAUUUUCGGCAAUGGGGGGAACCCUGACCGAGCAACGCCGCGUGAACGACGAAGUACUUCGGUAUGUAAAGUUCUUUUAUAUGGGAAGAAAAAGCAAUUAUUGACGGUACCAUAUGAAUAAGCCCCGGCUAACUAUGUGCCAGCAGCCGCGGUAAUACAUAGGGGGCGAGCGUUAUCCGGAUUUACUGGGCGUAAAGGGUGCGUAGGUGGUUAUUCAAGUCUGUGGUGUAAGUGCAGUGCUUAACGCUGUGAGGCUAUGGAAACUGAAUAACUAGAGUGAGACAGAGGCAAGUGGAAUUCCAUGUGUAGCGGUAAAAUGCGUAAAUAUAUGGAGGAACACCAGUGGCGAAGGCGGCUUGCUGGGUCUAUACUGACACUGAUGCACGAAAGCGUGGGGAGCAAACAGGAUUAGAUACCCUGGUAGUCCACGCCGUAAACGAUGAGAACUAAGUGUUGGCCAAAAGGUCAGUGCUGCAGUUAACGCAUUAAGUUCUCCGCCUGAGUAGUACGUACGCAAGUAUGAAACUCAAAGGAAUUGACGGGACCCCGCACAAGCGGUGGAUCAUGUUGUUUAAUUCGAAGAUACACGAAAAACCUUACCAGGUCUUGACAUACUCUGCAAAGGCUUAGAAAUAAGUUCGGAGGCUAACAGAUGUACAGGUGGUGCACGGUUGUCGUCAGCUCGUGUCGUGAGAUGUUGGGUUAAGUCCCGCAACGAGCGCAACCCUUAUUGCUAGUUACCAUCAUUAAGUUGGGGACUCUAGCGAGACUGCCAGUGAUAAAUUGGAGGAAGGUGGGGAUGACGUCAAAUCAUCAUGCCCCUUAUGACCUGGGCUACAAACGUGAUACAAUGGCUGGAACAAAGAGAAGCGAGAGGGUGACCUGGAGCGAAACUCACAAAAACAGUCUCAGUUCGGAUUGAAGUCUGCAACUCGACUUCAUGAAGUUGGAAUCGCUAGUAAUCGCAAAUCAGCAUGUUGCGGUGAAUACGUUCUCGGGGUUUGUACACACCGCCCGUCAAACCACGAAAGUGGGCAAUACCCAACGCCGGUGGCCUAACCCGUAAGGGAGGG